rnacentral:rRNA from 1 species
CCUAUACAUGACUCUGCGCAUAUCAAUAAGCGGAGGAAAAGAAACUAACAAGGAUUCCCUUAGUAACGGCGAGUGAAGCGGGAAGAGCUCAAAUUCGAAAUCUUCAAGGUUUUACCUUGACGAAUUGUAGUUUAAAGAAGUGUUUUCUGCUGAAGUUUUGGUAAAAGUUCUUUGGAAUAGGGACAUCAUAGAGGGUGAGAAUCCCGUAUUUGACCAUUAUUUUCAGCUUUGUGAUACACUUUCAAAGAGUCGGAUUGUUUGGGAAUGCAGUCCAAAAUGGGUGGUAAAUUUCAUCUAAAGCUAAAUAUUGGCGAGAGACCGAUAGCGAACAAGUACCGUGAGGGAAAGAUGAAAAGAACUUUGAAAAGAGAGUUAAACAGUACGUGAAAUUGUCAAAAGGGAAGCGUUUGACACCAGUGUUGUUUUCUCGAAAAUCAAUUAAAAAUGGCUCGAUUUUGUAUUGUUGAGACCUUAAAAGCUCACUGUACAUUUUUCGUGUCUUUUUUAAUGCACUUUUCGUUUAACAAGUCAACAUCAGUUUCUUUUGUUGUAAAAGGGUCAUUGGAAGGUGGCUUUCUUUUCGGAGAAAGUGUUUAUAGCCUUUGGCCUCUGCAAUCGGAGAGACUGAGGUCUGCAGCGUAGACUCUUCGGGGUUAGAUACAUUUGUGCUAAGUUAUAGCUUUUUAUAGACAACUUGUUGACUAUAAUUAGUCUUGUAGCUUACUCGCUUAUGCUAUUUUACCUACGCUUAGGAUGUUGAAGAUGUAGCACAUCAU